GAUGAACGCUGGCGGCGUGCCUAAUACAUGCAAGUCGAGCGAACGGACGAGAAGCUUGCUUCUCUGAUGUUAGCGGCGGACGGGUGAGUAACACGUGGAUAACCUACCUAUAUGACUGGGAUAACUUCGGGAAACCGUAUCUACUACCGGAUAAUAUUUUGAACCGCUUGGUUCAAAAGUGAAAUACGGUCUUGCUGUCUCUUCUAGAUGGAUCCGCGCUGCAUUAGCUAGUUGGUAAGGUAACGGCUUACCAAGGCAACGAUGCAUAGACGACGUGAGAGGGUGAUCGGCGACACUGGAAGGGAGACAGGGACAAGAGUACUACGGGAGGGAGCAGAAGGGAAUGUGAGGCAAGGGGGGAAAGCAUGACGGAGAAAGGGCGAGUGAGUGAUGAAGGUGUUGGGAUAGUAAAACACUGUUAUGAGGGAAGAACAUAUGUGAAAGAAAAAGAGGAGAAAGUGACGGUACCGAAAGAGAAAGCAACGGCUAACUACGUG
rnacentral:rRNA from 1 species